AACGAACGCUGGCGGCAGGCUUAACACAUGCAAGUCGAGCGCCCCGCAAGGGGAGCGGCAGACGGGUGAGUAACGCGUGGGAAUCUACCCAUCUCUACGGAAUAACGCAGGGAAACUUGUGCUAAUACCGUAUGUGCCCUUCGGGGGAAAGAUUUAUCGGCAAAGGAUGAGCCCGCGUUGGAUUAGCUAGUUGGUGGGGUAAAGGCCUACCAAGGCGACGAUCCAUAGCUGGUCUGAGAGGAUGAUCAGCCACAUUGGGACUGAGACACGGCCCAAACUCCUACGGGAGGCAGCAGUGGGGAAUAUUGGACAAUGGGCGCAAGCCUGAUCCAGCCAUGCCGCGUGAGUGAUGAAGGCCUUAGGGUUGUAAAGCUCUUUCACCGGUGAAGAUAAUGACGGUAACCGGAGAAGAAGCCCCGGCUAACUUCGUGCCAGCCGCCGCGGUAACAC
rnacentral:rRNA from 1 species